AUUGAACGCUGGCGGCAUGCCUUACACAUGCAAGUCGAACGGCAGCACGGGAGCAAUCCUGGUGGCGAGUGGCGAACGGGUGAGUAAAGUAUCGGAACGUGCCCAGUCGUGGGGGAUAACGUAGCGAAAGUUACGCUAAUACCGCAUACGAUCUAUGGAUGAAAGCGGGGGAUCGCAAGACCUCGCGCGAUUGGAGCGGCCGAUAUCAGAUUAGGUAGUUGGUGGGGUAAAGGCUCACCAAGCCUGCGAUCUGUAGCUGGUCUGAGAGGACGACCAGCCACACGGGGACUGAGACACGGCCAAGACUCCUACGGGAGGAAGCAGUGGGGAAUUUUGGACAAUGGGCGCAAGCCUGAUCCAGCCAUGCCGCGUGCAGGAUGAAGGCCUUCGGGUUGUAAACUGCUUUUGUACGGAACGAAAAGAUUCUCUCGAAUAAAGAGGGUCCAUGACGGUACCGUAAGAAUAAGCACCGGCUAACUACGUGCCAGCAGCCGCAGUAA
rnacentral:rRNA from 1 species